CCUACGGGUGGCAGCAGUGGGGAAUAUUGGACAAUGGGGGGAACCCUGAUCCAGCGACGCCGCGUGAGUGAAGAAGUCUUUCGGUAUGUUAAGCUCUAUCAGCAGGGAAGAAAAUGACGGUACCUGACUAAGAAGCCCUGGCUAACUACGUGCCAGCAGCCGCGGGAAUACGUAGGGGGCAAGCGUUAUCCGGAUUUAAUGGGGGUAAAGGGGGAGUUGUGGGUGAAGCAAGGCUGAUGUGAAAGGUGGGGGCCCAACCCCGGGACUGCAUUGGAAACUGGUGAACUGGAGUACAGGAGAGGUAAGCGGAAUGCGUAGUGUAGCGGUGAAAUGCGUAGAUAUUAGGAGGAACACCAGUGGCGAAGGCGGCUUACUGGACUGUAACUGACGUUGAGGCUCGAAAGCGUGGGGAGCAAACAGGAUUAGAUACCCUAGUAGUC
rnacentral:rRNA from 1 species